UCGGGUGUGGUGUACGGAACAUCGCGGGCCUUCCUGCGACGCCCUCAAUUUGGGAGCCCGCAGCCCGGGGUUCGACUCCCCGCGCCCGAA